rnacentral:tRNA from 2 species
GCAUCAAUGGGGUAGUGGUAACCUGGAUCGUUGCCACUCGCGUCGACUAGCUCGAUCCGCCGGGGGUUCGAUUCCCCCUUGAUGCA